UGCGCAGAUAUCGGGAGGAACACCGGUGGCGAAAGCGGCACCCUGGGGUGCACCUGACGCUGAGAGACGACAGCUAGGGGAGCGAACAGGAUUAGAGACCCUGGUAGUCCUAGCCGUAAACGAUGGAUGCUAGGUGUGGGAGUGAAGAACUUCUGUGCCGCAGCGUACGCGAUAAGCAUCCCGCCUGGGGAGUACGGCCGCAAGGUUAAAACUCAAACGAAUUGACGGGGACCCGCACAAGCAGCGGAGCGUGUGGUUUAAUUCGAUGCUACACGAAGAACCUUACCUGGGAUUGACAUAUGGGUGGUAGUGAGCCGAAAGGCAAGCGACCCUUCGGGGAGCCUAUACAGGUGCUGCAUGGCUGUCGUCAGCUCGUGCCGUGAGCUGUCGGGUUAAGUCCCGUAACGAGCGCAACCCCUGUCCUUAGUUACAAGUGUCUAAGGGGACUGCCGGCGGGAAGCCGGAGGAAGGUGGGGAUGACGUCAAGUCAGCAUGGCCCUUAUAUCCAGGGCGACACACACGCUACAAUGGUCGGUACAGAGGGCAGCGAAGCCGCGAGGUGGAGCGAAACCCAGAAAGCCGGUCGUAGUUCGGAUUGCAGGCUGCAACUCGCCUGCAUGAAGUUGGAGUUGCUAGUAACCGCAGGUCAGCCAUACUGCGGUGAUACGUUCCCGGGUCUUGUACACACCGCCCGUCACGUCAUGGGAG
rnacentral:rRNA from 1 species